rnacentral:rRNA from 1 species
CUACGGGACGCACCAGUGGGGAAUAUUGGACAAUGGGGGAAACCCUGAUCCAGCAAUGCCGCGUGUGUGAAGAAGGCCUGCGGGUUGUAAAGCACUUUCGGUUGGGAGGACUGCUUCUAGCACUAAUAUUGUUGGAAGUUGACGUUACCUUCAGAAGAAGCACCGGCUAACUCCGUGCCAGCGGCCGCGGUAAUACGGCGGGUGCAAGCGUUAAUCGGAAUUACUGGGCGUAAAGCGCGCGUAGGCGGCUAGAUCAGUCGGGUGUGAAAGCCCCGGGCUUAACCUGGGAACUGCAUCCGAUACUGUCUAGCUUGAGUACAGGAGAGGAGAGUGGAAUUCCACAUGUAGCGGUGAAAUGCGUAGAUAUGUGGAGGAACACCAAUGGCGAAGGCAGCUCUCUGGCCUGAUACUGACGCUGAGGUGCGAAAGCGUGGGGAGCAAACAGGAUUAGAUACCCUCGUAGUC